CGACGUUCCGGAGAAGCCGCGCUAGAAACGGUGCCGAAGGUGCAAGGCUGCCAUGCAGCCAAAUCUCUCAGGCAAAAGGACGGAAAAG
rnacentral:ncRNA from 1 species